UACGAAGGGGGCUAGCGUUGCUCGGAAUCAUUGGGCGUAAAGGGCGCGUAGGCGGCUUUGUAAGUCCGUUGUGAAAUCCCUCGGCUCAACCGAGGAACUGCGACGGAUACUGCUUGGCUUGAGUCCCGGAGAGGGUAGCGGAAUUCCCAGUGUAGCGGUGAAAUGCGUAGAUAUUGGGAGGAACAUCGGUGGCGAAGGCGGCUACCUGGACGGGUACUGACGCUGAUGCGCGAAAGCUAGGGGAGCAAACGGG
rnacentral:rRNA from 1 species